rnacentral:misc_RNA from 1 species
UCUAGGACUCCAUAGUCUCUCAAACGAAUCCGAAGGAAGGCCCGAACUCUUUGCAGAUUUCCAACAACACCACCAAGUGCAGCCUGUGUAGGAUGGCUUUGUAUGGUAUCCAUUAUAUAUUUCUCGUGUCCCCACUCUAGAUGGCGCCUUGCCCCAAGUAUUAGUGACAUCUUUUUUGAAACAUUUCGUUUUGAAGUUGAG